rnacentral:rRNA from 1 species
UACGUAGGGUGCGAGCGUUGUCCGGAAUUACUGGGCGUAAAGAGCUCGUAGGUGGUUUGUCGCGUUGUCCGUGAAAACUCACAACUCAAUUGUGGGCGUGCGGGCGAUACGGGCAGACUGGGAGUACUGCAGGGGAGACUGGAAUUCCUGGUGGUAGCGGUGAAAUGCGUAGAUAUCUGGAGGAACACCGGUGGCGAAGGCGGCAAUCCUGGGACCGGCAUGACGCUGAGGCGCGAAAGCUAGGGGAGCAACGGG